rnacentral:tmRNA from 1 species
GGGGCCGACCCGGUUUCGACGUGGGUAGUGAAGAAGCGCAGGGCAUACCGAGGCUCGAUUCCCUCGUAAAUACAGUCGAAAAACUAUAAACGCCAACGACGAGCGUUUUGCUCUCGCAGCCUAAGGGCUAGCGAGCGCUGCAACGGCACGCUGAUGGGCCGGGUGGGUCAAACCACUGCAGCGUCAUUCACAUCAGAUCGUCACCUGAUAAGCCGUGGGUCAGGUGCCUAAAACAAGCGGAUCGCGGAUGACCGGCCUGUCUGUUGGCUAAGUCACUUCGUUAAAUUUAAAUAAACCGACUAAGUAUGUAGAACUGUCUUUGGAUGACUUGCGGACGCGGGUUCGAUUCCCGCCGGCUCCACCA